CUGGCACCACGACGACCGUGCGCUCACCGGCGGAUUCGACGGCACGCGGUCCUGCUUUAUAAAUAGGGAGAGGCGGCGAGCCGAGCGAAGGGAAGAGAGAAAGCGAGAGAGCGGGGGUAGGGUUUUAGGGUCUUGGGCCUGGGUCGAUGGCGACGACGAAACCGGCCUCGAAUGAGAAAUCGUCCGGAUUUUUUCGUGACUACGGCUGGGAUGUGAUGCUAGGAACCAUCGCUGCCUUAUAUGUAAUCAUGGUUCCCUACACCAAGGUUGAAGAGAGUUUCAACGUUCAGGCAAUGCAUGAUAUGCUUUACCAUCACUGUCACAUUAAGAAUCAGUACGACCAUUUGGAUUUUCCUGGUGUUGUUCCUCGCACUUUUAUGGGUGCACUUCUUGCAUCGAUUUUGGCAUCACCAGUGGUGUUCCUUAUGCAGUGUUUACACAUGCCAAAGGUUUACAGUCUCAUUGCAGCUUGUGCCAUACUAAUGAAGCCCGUGGCUGCAUGGGGCAAGGUGUGUUCAAAAGUGUACUGUUCGAUUGGUGUUAGGUUGCAUCAUAUUGUCGACACUACGAUUUUUUCGCAUUCAGCUGUGCAGUUUCACUUGUUGUUCUACUCAACACGCCCUCUUCCAAAUAUGUUAGCUUUUGGUUUGGUUAACUUGGCAUAUUCUUUCUGGUUUAAGGGAAAUGCCUCGGCAACUUUGAAAUGUUUGGCUGGCAUUUAUUUUGGACUAGAGAAUGGGUCAAAACAGACUUUUGCUACAAUUGUAUUUAGAUGUGAUACAAUGCUUCUCUUUGCACCAAUUGGCAUUGAACUUUUGCUGAGCAAAUCUAUUUCACUAUGGAAGGCGAUGAAAUGCUGCAUAGCCGCUGCUCUUCUAUCCAUAGGCUUUACAGUACUUCUUGAUACAGUAAUGUGGCAGAGAAUCGUGUGGCCAGAACUGGAAGUUUUUUGGUUUAACUCCAUUUUAAACCGGAGUUCAGAAUGGGGUACACAUCCAUUCCAUUGGUACUUCACUUCGGCUCUUCCUCGCUCCUUGCUUGUAGCUUAUCCUCUAUGCGUGAUAGGAAUGCUGUUUGACAGAAGGAUUUUGCGGUAUAUUGUUCCAGUUCUUUCAUUUGUUUUACUUUACUCAAAACUUCCACACAAGGAGCUCCGCUUUAUAAUUAGUUCAGUUCCAGUUUUCAAUGUAUCAGCAGCAAUUACAGCUAGCAGAAUAUAUAUCAAUAGGAAGAAGAAUGUUUGGAGGGAACUUUAUGUUAUGAUGCUUGGGUCUUUGCUGGUCAGUCUAGGAUGCUCUAUCAUGACCUUCAUGGCAUCAUAUGACAACUAUCCAGGUGCUUAUGCUUUAAAUGCUCUACAUGAAAAAGGUGCUUCUAAUUGUAUGGCAGAGAAGUGGGUCCAUAUUGAUGCCUUCACAGCAAUGAAUGGAGUCUCUCGUUUUUCUGAAAAUAAGUACCCUUGGAGAUACUCUAAAGAAGAAGGGAUUGCCUUGGAAGAAUAUCGUUACAGAAAUUUUACCUACCUGCUCAAUUUGGGUGGGCUUCACAAGACUGGCUCCAAAAACAGCACUCCUCUUCAAGAACACUUACCCAAGAGAGAGAAGAAGAGGAAGAAAAAGAAGGGAAAAAGCAAUGUUUCCCCUUCCAGCCCCGGCCCCCAGAUUGCACUAGUUCUCCUGCAAGGUGGGGGGGAACAUAUCGUAUCACAUGCUAGAUGCUCCCGUUCUGUCAUCAGUGAAUAUAGAAAGAAACGUCUUUUUCAUGAAUCACAGCUAUCUACAAGUGCAAGUGCAUUGCAUAUGCUAGACUCUUGUAAAGCCAGAGGGUUAAUGGUCAUGUCACCUUGAACAUCCUCACGUUGAUGGUUUCAAGUGCUUAUUUGUGGUGAAUGGAUUCUCCAAAGCCCGACUACAGACCAGCUUUCCACCAAUUGUCUUGUUAAAGGAGCCAAAAGUAUUUGUUCAUGGGAAUGCAAGAGACCAAGAUAUUAUUCUGUCAGACUGGCCGGGUUGUCCAUAGGGUUGUGUCAAGGAAUCAUAUCUUGCUGAUAUAGAAAAACUCGCCAUUCUGCGAAGCAAUUGCACAAGCAUGAGGUAGUUGAGAACAGCAAAUUGCAAGGCAAUAAUUUGUGUUGUUCAUCCCGAGUGAAUGAAUUGCCCAUACAAAUUAGCACUCAUAAGAUACAAUCUCCCAGAUUUAUCACUAAGGAGCAUGCUGAUUAUUUGUUAACAGAAUUGAAUCAUCGAUGUUUUAUAGUGAAUAUGCUUUUGGCUUAAAAUAUAUGAAAUUAGUUUGUAUUAUGUUCUGCAAAUAACUUGUUUAAUUACUUAAAUAGACAGUUUCAAUGAGGCAAAACAGUCUGAGAACUGUUCCUUCACAUGCCAGUGUGACUCAAACCAUCAAUGCUUCUCCUUGAUUUUAAGAAAGUCAAAGGAUAAUUGUCGUAUUUGCAACUAGUGUAUAGUUCUAAAUUUAUCGAUGUUAAAGAUGGGACACUUUUCCUUUUCUUCCUCA